GUCCACGCCGUAAACGAUGCUAACUCGUUUUGGGGCUUUGGCUUCAGAGACUAAGCGAAAGUGAUAAGUUAGCCACCUGGGGAGUACGUUCGCAAGAAUGAAACUCAAAGGAAUUGACGGGGCCCGCACAAGCGGUGGAUUAUGUGGUUUAAUUCGAUGAUACGCGAGGAACCUUACCAAGGCUUAAAUGGGAAUUGACAGGUUUAGAGAUAGACUUUUCUUCGGACAAUUUUCAAGGUGCUGCAUGGUUGUCGU
rnacentral:rRNA from 1 species